CCUGACCUAGCUUCGGUGCUGCUCAGUGGAAAUGGCAGGGACGUGAGGUGCUGCUGAAUCGGAAGGGGCAGCGGCUGCCAGAAAGAUGGACGACUUGGGAGAUGAGCAGGGAGGCAGAACAAUGCCCCUGCCCUUUGUUACUGCCUCAUUUUCAGGGAGAAGGGCUCUCUGUCACGAGUGGAGUGAUUCUCCAACACGGUGCGGUGCGGGCAUUUCAGGCCACGCAGACACAGGCAGUUCUUUUCCUGGGUGUACACUUAAGCUUAUUUUCAUUCAUGAAAAGAGGAAAGCAAAGCAAAAAAAUAAAAAUAAAAAAAAAGCCUUUCUCUCUCACAGAUAAAUGUGGGGGAAAUAGCUCUGACAAUGUAGACGUGAAGUUCACCUUUGUUGUGCAUUUUUGAUUUUUCCAAUUUCCACUGGUUCUGCGGCAGGCAGCCUCUAAGGCACCCUCUGUGAAUCUUGCUCUGAGCAUGCCUGCCCGGUGUGUCUCUUUCCUUUCAACACAACCUGGACUCAUCAGCCUGCUUCUGAUGACCAGAAUACAGCAGAAAUCAUGGGAUGCGACUUCUGGAAGGAGGCGGGGGAAAAAGUGGCUGUGAGAACUCUGGUUUGGGGCAUCAGAACACACAGGCCAUAGCUACUUUGUUCUUUAAAGUUCUGAACAGGCCUCAAUUGCUCCAUGAUCCUUUCGCUACUUAAGAAUCAACCAAUAAUCAACAACCCAGGUCUGUGUUCCAGAGACCCUAUGAGAACUUCAUCGCAAUGCAGCCUCCACAGAGGCGCUCAGUCUGGAUCUGCUCCCUCCUCAGCAAUCUGUGAGCAAUGGCUGUGGGGGAAAACUAGCCUUUAAGACUGUGUUGUCAUCCUCACUUGGUUGGAUGGAAGCAGUUGGGUGAGAACAGGGUGGUAUGCCAUUGGCAGCCAGGGCCUAGUCUCUGCAUACUUUAAUGGCUGCUUCCCUCACAUCCAGAUACAUUGAGAGGAGGCUACUAUUUCCUGGGAUUCCAUUUAUAUCCCAAGAACAGUCUCACAAAGCCUUUGCCAAAGCUUUUCUUCAGACAAGCUAGCCUUGUGGCUAAUUCAAAGAAAACACUGUUGAAAGCCUUUUGUGGUACAGAUCCUCUGAAAAUCAUGGGUAAUUAGAAUAUUUUAAAUCUACAAUA